rnacentral:rRNA from 1 species
AUUAUUUUUUUAGAUUAUUUUUUUAUUGUUGAAAAAAUUAAAAACAAAUUGGUUUUUUUACAAUAAAUUAAAAUUUAUAAUAUUUCAAUUUUUUAAUUUUUAGUUUUAAAUAAA